UUUAACUAUAUUCAGAUUUCUCUCUAUUGUAAGGAUUUUGAUUGAAGAUUUUUGUGAUGUUCAUUAUUGUGGAAUUCUCUUGACAAUAUUAUUAUGUUCAUCUGUCCCAAGCAUUAAAGUUCUAAGGGUCAAUAACUUUACACAGGAUCUUUUUAUUUUAUUUUAUUUUAUUUUUUCUGUUUUUCCCUCCCAAGUAAUAAACUUUACUGGGGUUAGUAAUGUUUUCAAGUCGUCAGAUUUACUUGUUCUGCAGCCUAACACAUACUUUACUAGGGGUAGUAAAGUUUCCAGAACCUCAGUUUUUGUUGUUCUGCACCCUAGAACAUACUUUACUAGGGGUAGUAAUGUUUACAGAACCUCAGUUUUUGUUGUUCUGCACUCAGUAAUAAACUUUACUGGGGGCAGUAAUGUUUCCAGAACCUCAGUUUUUGUUGUUCUGCACCGUAGAACAUACAUUACUAGGGGUAGUAAUGUUUCCAGAGUAUCAGAUUUUGUUGUUCUGCAGCCUAACACAUAUUUUACUAGGGGUAGUAAAGUUUCCAGAACCUCAGUUUUUGUUGUUCUGCACCCUACAACAUACUUUACUAGGGGUAGUAAUAUUUCCAGAACCUCAGUUUUUGUUGUUAUGCACCCUAGAACAUACUUUACUAGGGGUAGUAAUGUUUCCAGAACCUCAGUUUUUGUUGUUCUGCACCCUAGAACUUACUUUACUGGGGGUAGUAAUGUUUCCAGAGCAUAAAAAACACAACUAAGGGGGUAGUAAUGUUGUUCUGCACCCAGUAAUAAACUUUACUGGGGGUAGUAAUGUUUCCAGAGUAUCAGAUUUACUUGUUCUGUAGCCUAAGACAUACUUUACUGGGGGUAGUAAUGUUUCCAGAGUAUCAGAUUUACUUGUUCUGCAGCCUAAGACAUACUUUACUAGGGGUAGUAAAGUUUCCAGAACCUCAGUUUUUGUUGUUCUGCACCCUAGAACAUACUUUACUAGGGGUAGUAAUGUUUCCAGAACCUCAGUUUUUGUUGUUCUGCACACUAACAUAUACUUUACUAGGGGUAGUAAUGUUUCCAGAGUAUCAGAUUUUGUUGUUCUGCACCCAAACACAUACUUUGCUGGGGGCAGUAAA
rnacentral:lncRNA from 1 species